GAUGAACGCUGACAGAAUGCUUAACACAUCAGCAAUUGAUUGGCGGCGGACGGGUGAGUAACGCGUAACGAACUUGCCUCACAGGUAGGGACAACAAUUGGAAAAGAAUGCUACUAACUAAUACUGUGAGAGAGCGUUGCGUCAGAUUAGCUAGUUGGUGAGGUAACGGCUCACCAAGGCGAUGAUGGUUAGCCGGCCUGAGCGGGUGAUCGGCCACAAGGGGACGGUGACACGGCCCUGACUCCUACGGGAGGCAGCAGUGGGGAAUAUUGGACAAUGGACCAAAGUCUGAUCCAGCAAUUCUGUGUGCACGAUGAAGUUUUCGGAAUGUAAAGUGCUUUCAGGUGGGAAGCGGUACCAACAGAAGAAGUGACGGCUAAAUACGUGCCAGCAGCCGCGGUAAUUC
rnacentral:rRNA from 1 species